rnacentral:rRNA from 1 species
AAUAGAUACCCGGGUAGUCCACGCCGUAAACUAUGAUUACUCGAUGUCGGCGAUAUACUGUCGGUGUCCAAGCGAAAGUGAUAAGUAAUCCACCUGGGGAGUACGAUCGCAAGGUUGAAACUCAAAGGAAUUGACGGGGGCCCGCACAAGCGGUGGAGCAUGUGGUUUAAUUCGAUGAUACGCGAGGAACCUUACCUGGGCUUGAAUGCAUUAUGACCGUCCCGGAAACGGGACUUUCUUCGGACAGAAUGCAAGGUGCUGCAUGGUUGUCGUCAGCUCGUGCUGUGAGGUGUCGGGUUAAGUCCCAUAACGAGCGCAACCCCUAUUCUUAGUUGCCAGCGGGUAAUGCCGGGGACUCUAAGAAACUGCCGCGUAAGCGGUGAGGAAGUGGGGAUGACGUCAAAUCAUCACGGCCCUUACGUCCAGGGCUACACACGUGCUACAAUGGUCAGUACAAAGGGCAGCUACCUGGUGACAGGAUGCUAAUCUCGAAAACUGAUCUCAGUUCGGAUCGAAGUCUGCAACUCGUAC